GUGGUGCCACCCCAAAGGAGUUCGAAAUCCCUCUCACGGCCCUUUUCCUGGACUGUGCCGAGCUGGUGGAAUGACCUCCCGAUCUCAAUUCGUACAGUUUUGAGUCUUUACUCAUUUUCAAGAAACAUCUAAAGACUGAUCUUUUUCGCCAGUACUUAACCAACUAAUACUAGCACUUUUCCUUUUCUUGUCUUUCAUAUUAAAAUAAAAAAUAAAAAAAUGGAUUGUAGCUUACCAACUCGAGUUGGAGUUUGAUGAUGAAACGGUUGAAGUGGUUGAUUGUCAAGCAGGGGUGGACUGGGCCAUCUGGACGCUCUGGAGAAGUCCAUCCAACGGCCAUUCAUCAUCAUAGAAAAGGUGUUAGAUAAAGUGAUGUUGGCAUCCGACAAAUGGGGAAACGAAACUGUUGUAUACGGCCCGCAAUGAAUUUUAGUAUGGCUGGAUCAUUUUAGACUAGGAUGAUAAAUUUUUAAAUAUUUGAAAUAUAAGUCGCAAAAAGAUUGCUUUCAGUUUAACACUAUCUCCAACCAGGAGAGGUCGCUAGUUUUCAGUCGCUCCCCAUAUUCAUUUCAGUGUUUUUAUACAGUCUAUGAAUAGGACGUGCACUCUAAUGUAAACAUUCACUAACAUUAGCAAAUAAUAAAUGAAAAACUGACCAUGAAAA